rnacentral:rRNA from 1 species
CCUACGGGUGGCAGCAGUGGGGAAUAUUGGACAAUGGGGGGAGCCCUGAUCCAGCCAUGCCGCGUGUGUGAAGAAGGCCCUCGGGUUGUAAAGCACUUUCAGUGAGGAAGAACGCCUGGUGGUUAAUACCCAUCAGGAAAGACAUCACUCACAGAAGAAGCACCGGCUAACUCCGUGCCAGCAGCCGCGGUAAUACGGAGGGUGCGAGCGUUAAUCGGAAUUACUGGGCGUAAAGCGCGCGUAGGUGGCUUGAUAAGCCGGUUGUGAAAGCCCCGGGCUCAACCUGGGAACGGCAUCCGGAACUGUCAAGCUAGAGUGCAGGAGAGGAAGGUAGAAUUCCCGGUGUAGCGGUGAAAUGCGUAGAGAUCGGGAGGAAUACCAGUGGCGAAGGCGGCCUUCUGGACUGACACUGACACUGAGGUGCGAAAGCGUGGGUAGCAAACAGGAUUAGAUACCCCUGUAGUC